UUUUCUGGCCGUUUGGCCAGAAUUUUGGCUCCGAUUUGGCCAUAGGGGAACUCAGCAUUGAAAAACGAGCCGGGGUAUGAAAUUUACCUCGAUCGGCGGUCGGAAAACUCCCCGGUGCGGUGGCGGGUGGCGGCGGCUGGCUCCUCCGGCGUCUGGUUCGUCUUCUCCGGCGAGGGCAGGCAGCUAGGGUUUUUGUGGUCAGGUGUGGGGGUUUUAUUUAUACCCUUUUGCCU
rnacentral:lncRNA from 1 species